UACGUAGGGCGCAAGCGUUGUCCGGAAUUAUUGGGCGUAAAGCGCGCGCAGGCGGUCCUUUAAGUCUGAUGUGAAAGCCCACGGCUCAACCGUGGAGGGUCAUUGGAAACUGGGGGACUUGAGUGCAGAAGAGAAGAGCGGAAUUCCACGUGUAGCGGUGAAAUGCGUAGAGAUGUGGAGGAACACCAGUGGCGAAGGCGGCUCUUUGGUCUGUAACUGACGCUGAGGCGCGAAAGCGUGGGGAGCGAACAGG
rnacentral:rRNA from 1 species